ACAUUCAGGCCGCAGCUAGGAUAAUGAAGCAUGACCCACAGCUUCUAAACUGAUAAUAAAGGCCCGAAGACGACAAGCCAAACAGAAUCCUGCCGUCACCAUCCCGAUUUUAAAUAGACAUCAAGUGUGUACAAGACAAAAGGCCAGGCUUUCCAACAAAAGGCGAUGAUUGGGUAGAGUGCCUCUUUGGACAAUAACUUGAUCUGAGAAGACACUGUCAGGAUUCGAGACAAGCCUGGAAUUGUGUGCGGUGACAGAAAACAGAAACGCAGCACUUUCUGAAUGGGACUUACAGGACUCAAAGAGGCGCCUAACGGCUGGUAAAUUUCACUGUGCUACAUAAGGCGCUCUCCCAGCAAGAGCAGCAGCGGAGAGAAACAGCUGCUGACCUGGAGAGCACAUGGAGCAUCUCUGCGAACAAUCGAAGCUCGCCCAACACCAAGGGCCAGAAGAAGCAGCUGAAAGAUCUGAGAGACGCUGGAAAUUCAACCCGGUUGCUUCUCUCC